GGCAUCUCUGUCCUGCUCUCUCUUGGCAACUACUCCUUAGAAAGUCGCAUCCUGGCUCUGUGGCUGAAGCCUUCGCCCGGGUUGCGAGUUUUGUGCAAGGUUUCUGAAGGCAGGUGGGAAAAACGAAAGUGGUCGCAGAAUCUUAGGAAGCUGGACCCUUGCACUCUACCUCAGUGGAAUCAGAAACAGAAAGUGGGUCUUGGAGGAGGGGCUAAGUCACAGUUCAGACUGCAGGAGGAUCACAACAGCUCUGGUGAACUAAGGUACCCAUCGUUCCCAGUGGGAACAGUCGGCCUGGACCGGCUUUAAUGGUGACUUUAUCCGAAGACUGCUCUCUGAGUGUGUGGAUCUGUGAUUCCAACUGUCCAAAAGAGCCGUUACAGUUAGAAGCUCUGCCAAGGAGGGCAAUACAUCCCUAAACCUGAGUUGAUCUUCAAAUUGGAAGAGGGAGAGGAGCCAUGGACAGCAGAAGAACCUGCAAACAAGACUCUGCCAGGAGAUGGUGUCACUUGAGGAUGUCACUGUGAAGUUCACCUGGGACGAGUGGCAAAAUUUCAACAAUGCUCAGAAGAUGCUAUACAGGAAUGUGAUGCUGGAGACAUAUAGUGGCCUGCUGUCACUGGGGCAAUGCAUCCCUAAACCUGAGUUGAUCUUCAAAUUGGAAGAGGGAGAGGAGCCAUGGACAGCAGAAGAACCUGCAAACAAGACUCUGCCAGUCUUCUGCGGUGUUGAUGCCAUAAUUGAGACUAAAUAGAAGAAUCAAGAGAGACAUUUGUGGCAAGUUACCUCCAAUGGCCACAAUAAAGCAAAUGAGGAAGCAGAGGGAUUAGAAAACACUUUUUAUUUAUACUCCAUGAAUAUUUCAAGUUCUGUUGUAAGUAAUAGAAACUGUUC